GUGAAGGUAGUGCCUAUACAUUAAACAACUGAAUGGUCCUCCCAUCUAUGAGAAAGUCCUACUGUGCCACGAAACUUCAAGAGAAGAUAAUAGGGAAUUGAUGAAGGAGAGAAACCCCUUUCUGGCCCAGCAGCACAAUCAAAUCCAUCCACCCAACCAUUCAUCCAUUACCAUGUGCUCAGUAAUGGGGGACACAAUGUGAAGCAGACACCAGCCCUCACAGAGUUGACAAGCAGUGGAUCGAGGGGCUGACUGAUUUGUUAGACAGAAUGCCUUUGUAUCAGAUCCAAGGUCCGACACUGCUGUAACAUGCAGCACAAGCUUGAAGAUGAUGCUGACACAGAGGAUGGAAAAGCCAGUCAAGCCACAAGCAAGUGGAGUCAUAAGCACUGAAUUCAAUACUUUUGAAGCAUGUUCUACUUCAGGACUUUCAGUGAAGUUAUUGAUCAAUUUCCAGGUCAUUGAAGUGAUAUCAAAUUGGAUUCUCUAGUGCUUGCAGUUAAAAACAUUCUAAGCUAAUAUGAUCAUAUGGUGGAAGCAAGCCUGCAACUUGGAGCUAAAUGCUUGGAAUCUGUUCCCAGCCACAACACCAACUGGCCGUGUCCUCAUAAGCAAGUCACUCCACUUCUCUGAGACUUACCUUCCUUAUCUGAAAAGGUGAAGCUUUGGGCUAGAUCACUGGUUUUCAUUCGGGGGUGGUUCUAUUCCCAUAGGAUACUGGGAAAAAUAUGGGACAUUUUUCAUUUGGACAAUAAUUGUGGAGACACUACUGACAUUUAGUGGACAGGAGACAGCAAGGCAGAAUUUCUUCCAUGCUUGGAAUGAUCCCAUAUGAUGAGAAUUUGUCACACCUAACAUGCCUCUUGAGACACUGCAUUAGAUGUUCCUUUUAUCUCUUUCUUCUCUUAUGAAUCUGGGGGAAUCAUUUAUUAAUUUCUCUUGAUUUCUGCUCUCUUGCUUUUCUCAGUCUGGUGGCCUCUAUUUGGCUGUCUAAAUAGAAGCUAAUAGAACAGGGUUUCCUAGUUUGGGUCCCAAGGAUAAUAUGCAUCAGAACUACCUUGGAGAAUUGCUAAGAAUUUAGAUUCCUGGGCUCAAUCUGAAACCUACUGAAUCAGCAUCAAGAUCCCCAGGUUAGGCUGGGCGCCAUGGCUCAUACCUGUAAUCCUAGCACUUUGGGAGUCCUAGGUGGGUGGAUCAUGAGGUCAGGAGUUUGAGACCAGCCUGGCCAAUAUGGUGAAAUACUGUCUCUACUAAAAAUACAAAAAAUUAGCUGGGUGUGGUGGCACAUGGCUGUAGUCCCAGCUACUCAGGAGGCUGAGGCAGGAGAAUUGCUUGAAUCUGGGAGGCAGAGGUUGCAGUGAGCCGAGAUUGAGCCACUGCACUCCAGCCUGGGCGACAGAGCGAGACUCCAUCUCAAAAUAAUAAUAAUAAUUAAGAUCCCCAGGUUAAGGGCAAGGUGGCAUGUGUCUAUAGUCCCAGCUACUUGGGAGGCUGACUGAGGAAAAUCUCUUGAUCCCAGGAGUUCAAGUCCAGCCUGGGUAAUAUAAUGAGACCCUGUCCCUAAGAAAACCCAACAAACAACAACAAAAAAAGUCCCUAUGUUACCUUUAUGCAAGCCAUAAUUCACUUUACAUUUUUGUCCACCCAGGCCACAAUGCCAACAAUAUAAAAGGCUUUUUAAAAAUAAAAGUCACUUACAAGAUUUAAAAAAUAAAAUAUCAUUCAUCUUGGUAGUAUUUGAGUUCUUUACAGAAAUUAUUUUACUUACCCUCACAGCAACUUCAUAAAAUAAGCUACUAUCCCCAUUUUACAGAAAAGGAAAACUGAAGUUCCUACCUUCAUUUUAUGUGUUAAGGAAAGAGCAGUUCCAUAUUUACAAGUUAGCAAAUGUUAAGGGCUGGGACUUGAGCCCAGGUUUGCUUGAGCCCAAAGCCUGACCCAAGCCAUUACACUCUGGCAGCCCAUGCUGUUCCCUGUGUUUGAGAGUGGCUAGCAAAGACACACACCAGAGAAAUGCCCCAGCUGCUAUUUCCAGCCACACUGUUCACACAAAUGAUGUACAUUAAAAAUAUAUGUGACAUAUGUUAUUCAAUACACUGUUAUAAAAAAAUCAGUUAAUAAAACAACACGUACAGUA